GCCGUGGGGGCGACGCGCGCGCGGAAAGUAGCCAAACAAAAUAGAAGCAUGAGCUCUGGGCGCUCUGCUCAAUCUCAAGCGAGCUGAAGAAGCAAACAUGCGAAUUGCCGGAGAGAAGAAAACCACCACCGAGAGAGAGCAUACGAACGCCGCGCAAGACCGAAGCGACGGCCGAGGAAUUCCGCUAGCUGCGACACGGUGACUCUUUUCCGUCCACCCGGCUCUAGCUCGGCCAAACUUCUCGAUGGAAGAUAGGCAACGGAGCAGUUCCGUGCGCAAUUGAACGUUAAACCUUCGACCAAUUUUCGUUUAUGACCUUCGCAUAUGCGCCUUGUCGGCAUGCAACGCGCCCUGUCCGUAGGGUGCCUCGAUGCCAACGCCGAAUAUUAGACGUGAUAUUCGGCACGCUACAAUCGGAGUGUAGGUACCCUCCUCCUCCAAGAACACGUCAGGUCGCUUCCUAUUUAGGCUUCUUUUAUAUGUGCUACCGGCGACUAGUGGUUCUAAGCGCCGGCGGGCACUGUAAGUCGGUUACAACCUAGGGCUUCAGUGGCAAAUUACCCCGCCGCCCCACGGAAAUACAACCUUUACAGACGUGUGCUCGUUUGCUUGACCUCACAGCGGUGGCGAACUCCUUUCUGUAUCGCCGUCCCUCGAUAACUACGUUUUGAGGCGCAGUUAUGUGAGCGGAGUUAGGGCUGAAUUCUUAUGCUAUCGACAAUAGUGAACGCCCGGACUUGCGAAGACAUUUUCUUUUGCUCUGUCCUUCUCGUUCCCCGCAGAAAGAUCAAGUGGUUGAACAGUGUUCCACAUUCAUGCUCUCUUCAAUGUCUUCGGUUUGUUGCUUUUCCAAAAUGUUCAACUCGCGGACCCCUUCCUUGCACUGCCAUGGAUAAAAACAAAAUGCGGUUUUACGAGUCAGAACCACGAUGUGAUCAUGACGCACGCCGUAGACUCCCGAUUAAUUUUGACCAACUGGGUUUCCUUAAGGUGCACCCAAUGCAAAGCAAACAGGCGUUUUUGCACUCCACCCCCAUCGAAAUCCAGCCUCCGCAGCAGUCAUCUGAUACCGCGCCCUCGGGCUUAGCAGCGUAACGCCAAGGCUACACACUGCGCCAACACGGCGGGUACCGUGGAUUUGCAUGUUCGCCGUCUAGUUUGGCCAGUUUUGCCUGAGCUUUUCCAAAUAUGAAGGUUAUUCGCAACAUUGUCUCGUCCGUACGCGCUUUAUAACUUUACCCAACCAUGUCCUGUCACUAGCCUGCCAGCACAUAUAUCCUCAGGAGGAGAGAAGAACGCAUUCAGGGCGUUUCGCGAUGAAAAUGUGCCUCGAAAUGUGUCGUGCCUCUCCACUGCUCUUUCAACUUGAAAGUUGACGCCCAGCGACAGACAAUGUGCCGAGCGAGGUUCGCCUACAUAUUUUCUCCGGCCUUAGUUCGUCUCGCGGCCACGUAUGUUAUCGUCUGUUCCUCCGGAACGAUUAAAGUCAACACCCGUAGUUCGUUAGCGCCAGAUGUGACUUGUGCAGCCAAAAGCAGUACGACUACGCUGAAUAUUUUCCCAUAGGUACAUGGAACUUUUCAACGCAAGAGGCCGGCGAAACAUGCCGGCCAUCGGUUAAGGCAACGUACUGGGGACCUCAAUUGUUCGUUUCAUAUAACGGUGUACGAAUACCGUGGGGGCGGCGUAUACUACACAGAAGUACGCGCAUCACAAGCGAGAGAGAAACGCCGUAGCUUCCAUCGCUCUGCAAAGUGCUUUGGCUGGGCUCCGCGCCAGCUGUGCCUUCUCCGCUACAAACACACGCUGCCGUUCGAGACUGCUCACCUGGAGUGCCAGCUGGCUCUCUCUCUCUUCCGCGCACGGAGAAGGCACGGCGGCAAGCGAAGCGCCACCCAUAGUGCCACAAAUGACCAACUCCCAAAAGAUGCCACAAAUGCAUUCUUGGAUAGCAACAGAGUGGUUCCAGCAAGGUAAGGAAAACGGAGAAGAAAGGCCACGAGGCGCGCUCUGUGCAGUGGGCCAGCACGGGCAGGGACAGAACAAGUCACUUAUUUCCGCUUCCAAGAAAGUAAAGUGACACUCAAGUGCGUGCGGUCAUUGCUGCCACGCAUCUUUCCGGAUCAAGAAGGGCGCGAUCUGUGUCGUGGCAGCGACGUGCGACUACAGACGGCGCGCAGCUACCACGUCGGUGCAUGCGCCUCGUAUCUGCCUUAAGCGUCCCAGAUGUUUUCCUGCGUUGGGUGCGUUAAGUUGCCAAAUAAAAGUCAAUUACUGCACUAGCAUACUCAUUUCCGGUGGGGUUAGUAACCGAGCAAUUACUAACCCCACCGACCAUUUGGCGUUACAAAAUGACCUAUCGCGCAUACAAAACUGGUGUAACACUUGGCUCAUGUCAUUAAAUGUAGCUAAAACCAUGUUGAUGUGUAUUUAUCGUCGUCGUAAUUACGAUAUGCCUAAUUAUAGCAUCAAUAACAUGCAGAUUGCAAAAACUGAUUCAUUCAAAUAUAGUGGUGUUUGUAUAC